GAUGAACGCUGGCGGCGUGCCUAAUACAUGCAAGUCGAGCGAACAGAUGAGGAGCUUGCUCCUCUGACGUUAGCGGCUGACGGGUGAGUAACACGUGGAUAACCUACCUAUAAGACUCGAAUAACUUCGGGAAACCGGAGAUAAUACCGGAUAAUAUAUUGAACCGCAUGGUUCAAUAGUGAAAGACGGUUUUGCUGUCACUUAUAGAUGGAUCCGCGCCGCAUAAGCUAGUUGGUAAGGCAACGGCUUACCAAAGCAACGAUGCAAAACCGACAUGAAAGAGAGAUCGGACACAUUAGAGCUAAGAAUCGGACCAGCCAACAAAGGAAGCCAGCAGGAGGGAAUCUUACGCAAUGGGGGCAAAACAGAUAAAGCAAAGCCGCGUGAGUGAUGGUGGUCUUGGGAUCGUAAAACUCUGUUAUGAGAAGAGUACAAAUGUGUACGUAACUAUGCACGUCUUGACGGUACCUAAUCAAACAGCCACGGCUAACUACGUG
rnacentral:rRNA from 1 species